UCAUAGCUCAGUGGUAGAUCAUCUGUCUGGCAUGCGGAAGGGGCCGGGUUCAAUCCCCAACAGGUAAA
rnacentral:tRNA from 1 species